rnacentral:rRNA from 1 species
GAUGAACGCUAGCGGCAGGCCUAACACAUGCAAGUCGAGGGGCAGCACAGAAACAGCAAUGUUUUGGUGGCGACCGGCGGACGGGUGCGUAACGCGUAUGCAACCUACCUUACGCAGGGGGAUAACGGAUGGAAACGUCCACUAACACCCCAUAACAUCGGAAUCGGCAUCGGAUUCGGUUGAAAUCUCCGGAGGUGUAGGAUGGGCAUGCGUUGUAUUAGAUAGUUGGUGAGGUAACGGCUCACCAAGUCAACGAUACAUAGGGGGACUGUGAGGUUAGCCCCCCACACUGGAACUGAGACACGGACCAGACUCCUACGGGAGGCAGCAGUGAGGAAUAUUGGUCAAUGGGGGCAACCCUGAACCAGCCAUGCCGCGUGCAGGAAGACGGCUCUAUGAGUUGUAAACUGCUUUUACGAAGGGAUAAAUCGGGGUACGCGUACCCCGUUGAAGGUACUGUGGGAAUAAGGAUCGGCUAACUACGUGCCAGCCGCCGCCGUAA